GGGUCAGCUGGUAAGGCCUUAUGUGGUUCUGAAGAGGGGUGAUGACUUAAAUCAUGUGCUCAAUAGGAUUACGCUGUGCUU